UGCAGAGAGAGUAUAAGACAGGGAUGUAGAUGACAGAGAGACACUCCACUACUCUACUACUGAGGUCCAGAAGACAUCAGCAGACAACCAGCAUCAACCAGAAUCUUCCAACUCAGAGGAUGAAGAUCCAGAUUUUGAUACUGCUGUUCGCUCUUGUGAGUGUCCUGUCAGCAGCAAGUACACUCAAUGAAGCUGUCCCCAGGGAAGUGGCUGAAGAUGAAGAAUUUAUUUCUACGCUUUCUAAAUGGUUUCACUCAUUGGGGUGAGAAGCGACCAGCAUGGGGCCGUCGGAGAUCCUCUCCAGUCUCCUUAUGGAAUUAACCAUCAGCUAACUGUGACAUCAUCAAUAAGACUACUAUAUCAGUCAAUCAAUCAAACAAUCACUGAUUAACAAAAAAUUAAACAAAAUUAUAUUACAAAAGCCUGUCCUUCAAAUACUGAGUAGCACUAGUUUAGUGUUUCUGAAAGAAGUGUACAUUUUAUGCAUAAACAUACUUUGUCUUGAAACAUGAUUGAUUGGUUACUGGAUAAAUGAAGUGAAUAAAUGGUGUAAUUCUAUAUGGGUGACGUGUAGUAUUUUGAUUGCCCAAUAAACUACUUUCAAGCCUCA